AGAGUUUGAUCCUGGCUCAGGAUGAACGCUGGCGGCGUGCCUAACACAUGCAAGUCGAACGAAGCACUUUUACUCGAUUCUUCGGAUGAUGGUAAUAGUGACUGAGUGGCGGACGGGUGAGUAACGCGUGGGUAACCUGCCUCAUACAGGGGGAUAACAGUUAGAAAUGACUGCUAAUACCGCAUAAGACCACGGAGUCGCAUGACUCAGCGGGAAAAACUCCGGUGGUAUGAGAUGGACCCGCGUCUGAUUAGGUAGUUGGUGGGGUAACGGCCUACCAAGCCGACGAUCAGUAGCCGACCUGAGAGGGUGACCGGCCACAUUGGGACUGAGACACGGCCCAAACUCCUACGGGAGGCAGCAGUGGGGAAUAUUGCACAAUGGGGGAAACCCUGAUGCAGCGACGCCGCGUGAGCGAAGAAGUAUUUCGGUAUGUAAAGCUCUAUCAGCAGGGAAGAAAAUGACGGUACCUGACUAAGAAGCACCGGCUAAAUACGUGCCAGCAGCCGCGGUAAUACGUAUGGUGCAAGCGUUAUCCGGAUUUACUGGGUGUAAAGGGAGCGUAGACGGCUGUGUAAGUCUGAAGUGAAAGCCCGGGGCUCAACCCCGGGACUGCUUUGGAAACUAUGCGGCUAGAGUGUCGGAGAGGUAAGUGGAAUUCCCAGUGUAGCGGUGAAAUGCGUAGAUAUUGGGAGGAACACCAGUGGCGAAGGCGGCUUACUGGACGAUGACUGACGUUGAGGCUCGAAAGCGUGGGGAGCAAACAGGAUUAGAUACCCUGGUAGUCCACGCCGUAAACGAUGACUACUAGGUGUCGGGUGUCACAGACAUUCGGUGCCGCAGCA
rnacentral:rRNA from 1 species